UUACCAAAGCCGAGCUGGGACCGCUGGAACCUCAGGCGCAGGAUGCCAUCGGUCGGCUGGGGGAAAUGUGCGUUCGAAUUUUGCGGGAACAGGCCGGUGCAAUUGCCAAAGCAGGUACCAAGUGCGGUGCCACGGCGUACGCCUUCCUCAAGUGUUUGGGCGAAGGUGUUUUCUCAAACUGCCCCGACAAGUACUGGAGCUCGCGCGAAAUCUGUACGAAGUAUGACCAAGGAGUUCCCUUUUGUGAUAAGAAAAACAACUAAUUGGAACUUCUGAACUAGAGGUACAAUAUCCACCAGUAAGUACGAACCAAGAAGAGAAUAUCAUAAAUUUAUCGAAAUAAAAUUGAUGGAAUUCAUUUCGGAUAUCACAAAACAGUGGUAGUUUUACAUGCAAUCUGUUUUUAUUUCAUGUGACAAUAAUUCAGUUUCACAGUAGUAACAAUCAAAGUGUAUGCAUUUUAAUAUAUUUCAAUGAAUGGUUCAUAUAGUAUGGUAUCAUUUCGAUCAACUGAAGCGCACGUAUUUCGAAACGCGAUAUAUUUGAUUCAAAUUGCUGACGUUGAAGUUGUUGUUGUUAUUGUGGUUUGUUGUAGUUGUAUAAGAAUUGUCAUUGUGUUAAUCAUUUUCUUCACGUUUCCACAUAUUUUUUAAACAAGUAAUACUGUGGUUAAUACAGUGUAAAACAGUUUCAACGUUAAAUAUUGAAGAUUCUUACAGUUGUUAUAUCUAGAACCUCACACAUUAACUUUAUGACGGUGUAACGGAUAAAACAGUUGAUUUAAAUUCUAAACCAUAUGCGAAUGUAAGUGGAUUCAAUGGUAUGUGAGUUGAAUGUAAAAUGUUGAGUCGUCAGUGCUUUAUUAGCAGCGAAUAAUAGUUUGAUCAUUGUGAUCUAAGCGUUUUACAUAGAGUUGGGUGUUAUACGGUUUUCGAUAGACAGGAAAGUAGUGUACGUAUAGGUGAGCUUAUUCUUAAGAUAUGAUUGGUAUGGAUCGAAAAUUUCUGGAUACAGUGUAGAAGCGCUUAUUAAGAUAGUUUUGCUUUGGUGGGAUUAAAUAAACAGUUUUCUUAGGAUUCCAUAUUUUCCCGUGAAUAUCUAUACAAUAUU